GCCAACAACGACAAUCGACAUUGGAACCGUGGAGCGAUCAUUGUCAGGAGAUGGACCAGCUGUUUUUUGGCCUUGGGAUGUGCAGGGGAGUGUCAGACUUGAGGACAAGCAUGCCUACUUUGUGGCCUCGAUGCGCAGGAAGCGCUUGGAAGAAGAGAAAGGCAUCCUCGUGAAGGAGAUGGAACAGCACACUACAUCACUGAAAAGAUUGAUGUCUUGUCUAGAAGCAAAGAUGUCAUCGGCAGAGUCACAAAAUGAGGGCCUUUCUGCCUUCUGUCGAAGACGGCUUCAUGACCUGACAAUCGUCCAUCUUUCUGCUGUGGCAAGCUACAGGGCUGUUUUAAGCCCACAGGGGACCAAUAGGCCAUCUUGUGAGGAAGGGCAGGGAGAUGACGGGAAUGAGGACGAUGUACACAGCAGUGAUUUCUCAUACACCAGUGAUGAGGAAGAAACGGAGUGUAGUUCUUUAAUCUGAGACGGUUUGGAAUCAUCAAUCAUCAUUCCUUGACACCCGCAGCUGUCUCCUUUCUCCUGCUUUCUCCAACACACCAACAGCCUCUCUCUGUCCUGCUCUCCUCUGUCUCCUCCAUCCUGAUCUCCAGUGCAGCAGCAGUGCCAUCCAUGUCACCCCCAGCAGCAGCACUGGCAUUCAUGCCCUCAGUAGCACCCAGGACAGAAAACACAACAUUUAAAUUAAACUGUUAAAAAACUCUGUUAAGCUAUUGCCAUUCCACCAAGAACUAAGUGAUUGCUGUGAGUUAUUCAGCCAGUGGAAUGUGCUGUGUGUGUGUAUGUGUGUGUGUGUGUGUGGGGGGGGGG